GAUGAACGCUGGCGGCGUGCCUAAUACAUGCAAGUCGAGCGAACAGACGAGGAGCUUGCUCCCCUGACGUUAGCGGCGGACGGGUGAGUAACACGUGGAUAACCUACCUAUAAGACUGGGAUAACUUCGGGAAACCGGAGCUACUACGGGAUAAUAAUUUCAACGGAUGGAUUCAUAGUGUAAUCCGGCUUUGCUGGAUAUUAUAAGUGGAUUCGGGCCGCAUUAGCUGGUUGGGAGGUAACGGCUUACCAAGGCGACGAUGCGUAGCCGACCUGAGAGGGUGAUCGGCCACACUGGAACUGAGACACGGUCCAGACUCCUACGGGAGGCAGCAGUAGGGAAUCUUCCGCAAUGGGCGAAAGCCUGACGGAGCAACGCCGCGUGAGUGAUGAAGGUCUUCGGAUCGUAAAGCUCUGUUAUUAGGAAAGAACAAAUGUGUAAGUAACUAUGCACGUCUUGACGGUACCUAAUCAGAAAGCCACGGCUAACUACGUG
rnacentral:rRNA from 1 species